UUGUGUUUUUUCAUAAAGUACUGCAUAUUUUCUUUAUCUUAUUUCACAGUUAUGAUGAGGAAGUUAAACCAUUUUGACAGACAUAAUUUUUUGUUCGGAUUUGUUCCGCGUUUUGAAAAUUAAGAGAUUUUUUCAAAGAUUCUGAACUAGAAUUUACAUGAAAUGUCUUUCACGAUCCGUUACCAGAGCUUUCACGAUCGUCUCUCAAUACUUGACCG
rnacentral:lncRNA from 1 species